AGGUGUGAUCAUACCAGCGUUAAUGCAUCGAAUCCCAUCAGAACUCAGUAGUUAAGCAUGCUUGGGCUAGAGUAGAACUGGGAUGGAUGACGUCCCAAGAAGUCCUAGUUUUACACCCU
rfam:Picea glauca, whole genome shotgun sequence.